rnacentral:rRNA from 1 species
UACGGAGGGUGCAAGCGUUGUCCGGAAUCACUGGGCGUAAAGGGCGCGUAGGCGGCUCAUGAAGGCUGUGGUGAAAGUCCGGGGCUCAACCUCGGAUCGGCCGUGGCGACUCGUGGGCUGGAGCACUGUAGAGGCGGGUGGAAUUCCGGGUGUAGCGGUGGAAUGCGUAGAGAUCCGGAAGAACACCGGUGACGAAGGCGGCCUGCUGGGCUAUGGCUGACACUGAGGCGCGACAGCGUGGGGAGCAAACAGG